rnacentral:rRNA from 1 species
GAUCAUGGCUCAGGAUGAACGCUAGCUACAGGCUUAACACAUGCAAGUCGCGGGGCAGCAUGAAGGAUGCUUGCAUUCUUUGAUGGCGACCGGCGCACGGGUGAGUAACGCGUAUCCAACCUGCCCCUUUCCCCGGCACAGCCCGUAGAAAUGCGGAUUAAUGCCGGAUGCGGUCGUGUGACGGCAUCAGAGCACGACGAAAGGAGCGAUCCGGGAAGGGAUGGGGA